GACGGAGGAUGCAAGUGUUAUCCGGAAUCACUGGGCGUAAAGCGUCUGUAGGUGGUUUAAAAAGUCUAUUGUUAAAAAUUGAAGCUUAACUUCAAAGAUGCAAUGGAAACUUUUAAACUUGAGUAUGGUAGGGGUAGAGGGAAUUUCCAGUGGAGCGGUGAAAUGCGUAGAUAUUGGAAAGAACACCAACGGCGAAAGCACUCUGCUGGGCCGACACUGACACUGAGAGACGAAAGCUAGGGGAGCGAAUGGG
rnacentral:rRNA from 1 species